UAAACUCCCUCCUGUUCUUAUGAACCAAUUGAAGUUGAGGUUUCACUUGCUCUCAAGCCAUUCUUCUUUCUGCCCAUCCUCCAGUAUCUUAUGUUUGGCCUUCAGAGAAAUAAUGGUAAAAUGUAUGACCCUCAAGUCUAGCAAUGGGAACACAAAAAGGUAGAUCGUGUAGUACCGAUAUUAAAAAGUACUAGAAACUGAAUUCCAUAGUUGUUUUGUCCUUUGCUUUUUUGAAAAUUAAAUUGGACACAGAAGUUUUGAGUACACAUACAGGAAUAUUAAUAAAGUAUCUUAUCAUUGAAUGUACAAUGAGAAAAAGAAAUACAAUAUUCAUUCAGUUAAGGUCUGUAGGCAAAAUUCUGGCCUUUGGGAAAUAGAGAAAUCCUGGGAUAUGAACUGUGUAUCACAGGAAUGAACCUGGGAAACAAAAAUUAUCUAGAAGGAUCUCCUCCACUCUAUAUUCCUAAUUCGUUUCAAGCCAUGCUAAGCCCCUGACUAACUUUGUCCAUUCAGAAUAUAUAACCUCUAAUGAAGCAAAGAGAAAUCUCUAGCUUUAAAGAGAUGGAGUAUGUAAAGGUUUCCACUGUUAGACAGGAGAAACUCCUGGAAAUUGUACUCCAAAUCUGUUCAAUGUAAGGAAAGCUGUUUAGCAGGUAGGCCAUGGCAGUUCUCAGUGACAUCAUCAUUAGGACUCCCAGAAAAAUCUCUUGUAUCCUGGAGAGACCUCGCUUCUUCUGUGAUGUCACCAUUGUUGUACUGACUGCAACUGCCUAUCAGAUAUUGCUUCAGUACCUUUGGGUCUUCAAAUUGGCAUCUAAUGCAUUGUAAAUAGCCAUUUGGGAGGGCAAACAUAGAGGAUGAAGUGAUCAGACAUGGGGUGUAGAAGGUGACCUUCUGUCUAGGUAUAAAAAGAAGAAACACGUGGUCAAUGGGAAAGAUCCUUGAGUCUUGGAUUUUUAGGUGCUGAGGACAAAGAGAAGACACACAGAAGGACUGAGACAGAGGGUCUGAACUGGAAGGACAGAGACUGAUGGACAGAGCAGGAGAGGGGAUGACCUGAAAAGACCAGUUUGAGAUAAGGAGAACAAAGAUGUUGAUGGCUCCAAGCUUCUCCCUAGCCUGUCAAGCAAAAAGCAUAAGGACAAAAUGGAAAAGGCUCCAGCAAGUAAUCCUCUACUUUAUCUCCUGCUGUUUCAGAAUGAGGUGGAAACUUUCUCCAGUGCCCAUGUGUUGAAGACUCUUCCCCAUCUUUUCUUCUAUUAGUGUAGUGCCCACCUCGACCAGCAAGGAAGACACAUCACCGUUGGAUUCUUCUCAACAGCCUUUAUUUCAGGAAAACCUCAUUCUUGAUGAGGGGGGCCCCGAGGGAAAAAAGGCACUCCCCCUAAAUACAAGAAAGGCUGUGGUUGUAAA